UACGUAGGUGGCAAGCGUUGUCCGGAAUUACUGGGCGUAAAGGGCGAGUAGGCGGUUCUGGCCGUCAGAUGUGAAAGGCAAGGGCUCAACCCUUGGACAGCAUUUGAAACACCAGGACUUGAGUGCGGUAGAGGAAAGUGGAAUUCCCAGUGUAGCGGUGAAAUGCGUAGAUAUUGGGAGGAACACCAGUGGCGAAGGCGACUUUCUGGGCCGUAACUGACGCUGAGGCGCGAAAGCGUGGGGAGCAAACAGGAUUAGAUACCCUGGUAGUCCACGCCGUAAACGAUGGAUGCUAGGUGUGGGAGGUAUCGACCCCUUCCGUGCCGGAGUAAACGCAAUAAGCAUCCCGCCUGGGGAGUACGACCGCAAGGUUGAA
rnacentral:rRNA from 1 species